rnacentral:sRNA from 2 species
UUGAACAAGUAGAAGCACCCGCUUCUCGCCAAGUGACUAUGUUGCUUGGCAGAUACAGUUGUACGAAAGUACUGCAAGUGUGGAAGUGGGUAAAGAUUAAGUUCUUGGCCCACUUUUCUUCUUGA